rnacentral:rRNA from 1 species
AGGCUGCAACUCGCCUACACGAAGUCGGAAUCGCUAGUAAUCGCGGAUCAGCAUGCCGCGGUGAAUACGUUCCCGGGCCUUGUACACACCGCCCGUCACACCAUGGGAGUUUGUAACGCUCAAAGUCGGUGGCCUAACCUUUAUGGAGGGAGCCGCCUAAGGCGGGACAGAUGACUGGGGUGAAGUCGUAACAAGGUAUC